CAUAUACUCUUUCCUUUCGGAAUUACUUGUCUCGGAAAUGGAUGUAUCUAGACAUAUGUUAGUUCUAGAUACAUCCAUUGACGAGACAAGUAAUUCCGAACGGAGGGAGUAGAAA
rfam:Triticum aestivum genome assembly, contig: Triticum_aestivum_CS42_TGACv1_scaffold_592971_7BS